GAGCUGUGAUGAGGAAUAGAGAUAGUCAUGCACCACUCUGAUGAUGUUUACAUCAAUCUGUGCUGAUAAAUUUCUCACAACCCAUAUUUUUUCUGAGCUC